AGAGUUUGAUCCUGGCUCAGAACGAACGCUGGCGGCAGGCUUCAUACAUGCAAGUCGAACGAAGAUCCCCUUCGGGGGUGAAAAGUGGCGAACGGGUGAGUAACAGGUGGAUAAUCUGCCUUUCGGUGGGGGACAACGGCUGGAAACGGCCGCUAAUACCGCAUACGAUUGCGAGGUCCUCGGGCCUUGCAAGGAAAGGAGCUUUUGCUUCGUCGAAAGAUGAGUCCGCCUCCCAUUAGCUAGUUGGUGAGAUAAUAGCCCACCAAGGCAACGAUGGGUAGCCGAGCUGAGAGGUUGAUCGGCCACACUGGAACUGAGACACGGUCCAGACACCUACGGGUGGCAGCAGUAGGGAAUAUUGCGCAAUGGGCGAAAGCCUGACGCAGCCAUGCCGCGUGGAUGACGAAGGCCUUCGGGUCGUAAAGUCCUUUUAUUGGGGAAGAAUAAGUGGGAGAGUGGAAUGCUCCCGCCUUGACGGUACCCAAUGAAUAAGCAACGGCUAACUCCGUGCCAGCAGCCGCGGUAAUACGGAGGUUGCAAGCGUUGUUCGGAUUUACUGGGCGUAAAGGGAGCGCAGGCGGUCGACUCAGUCUAAAGUGAAAGUCCGGGGCUCAACCCCGGAAGUGCUUUGGAUACUGGUUGACUUGAGUAUGUGAGAGGAGAGCGGAAUUCCAGGUGUAGCGGUGAAAUGCGUAGAUAUCUGGAGGAACACCGGUGGCGAAAGCGGCUCUCUGGCACAAAACUGACGCUGAGGCUCGAAAGCAUGGGGAGCGAACGGGAUUAGAUACCCUGGUAGUCC
rnacentral:rRNA from 1 species